ACAGGCAUGUGCCACUACGCCUGGCUAAUUUUUUCAUUUUUAUUUUUUGUAGAGAUGGGGUCUUGCUGUGUUGCCCAGGUUGGUCUUGAACUCUUGGCCUCAAGCAAUCCUCCUCCAGAGCCUCCCAAAGUGUUGGGAUUACAGGCAUGAGCCACUGUGCCUGGCCAGAAAUUGUUUUGAAAGGCUAACCAGUAAAACAUUAACCAAUUUACAAGAGAAAAACAGCCCCAUCAAAAAGUGGGCAAAAGAUACGAACAGACACUUCUCAAAAGAAGACAUUUAUGCGGCCAAAAAACAUAUGAAAAAAAUCUCAUCAUCACUGGUCAUUAGAGAAAUGCAAAUCAAAACCACAAUGAGAUACCAUCUCAUGCCAGUUAGAAUGGCAAUCAUUAAAAAGUCAGGAAACAACACAUGCUGGCGAGGCUGUGGAGAAAUAGGAACGCUUUUACACUGUUGGUGGGAGUGUAAAUUAGUGCAGCCAUUGUGGAAGACAGUGUGGCGAUUCCUCAAGGAUCUAGAAUCAGAAAUACCAUUUGACCUAGCAAUCCCAUUACUGUGUAUAUACCCAAAGGAUUAUACAUCAUUCUGCUAUAAAGACACAUGCACAUGUAUGUUUAUUGCAGCACUAUUCACAAUAGCAAAGACUUGGAACUGACCCAAAUGCUCAUCAGUGAUAGACUGGAUAAAGAAAAUGUGGCACAUAUACACCAUGGAAUACUAUAAAUAUAUAAAAAAAGAUGAGUUCAUGUCCUUUGCAGGGACAUGGAUGAAGCUGGAAACCAUUGUUAUCAGCAAACUAACACAGGAACAGAAAACCAAACACCACAUAUUCUCACUUAUAAGUGGGAAUUGAACAAUGAGAACACAUGGACACAGGGAGGGGAACAUCACACAACGGGGCCUGUUGAGGGGUAGGGGGCUAGAGGAGGGAUAGCAUUAGCAGAAAUACCUAAUGUAGAUGACAGGUCGAUGGAUGCAGCAAACCACCAUGGCACGUGUAUACCUAUGUAACCUGCACGUUCUGCACAUGUAUCCCAGAACUUAAAGUAUAAUUUUAAAAAAAGGGAAAAAAAGUAAAAAAAAAAAAUAAACAAAUCAGCAAACUACACAGAAGAAUAUUAGAACAAUUUCUCUCAAAUUUCUCUUCCAUUGAGCUUCCUGCCUGACCCUAGAGCUCCCUCACCUCUUUGGCUUACCAGCUCCCAUCCUUCAAAGUUUCUGAGUUAUUCUGUGGGGAAUUUGAGCUACUCUCUUCCUUUAGGUCCAGGCCAUCUCAGCUAGGUCCAGAGAGCCUCACUCACCUCCCCAACUAAGCAAGCAUCCCUGGAGGUAUGUUCUUCAUGCAAGGGCAGUUCCUGAGAGAAUUUAUUUGGUUAGCUCAUAAAGGGAUUAUAUUGUUUUCCCCUGCACAUGAGAGAGAGUAGCUGAAGUCUACUGACUUUAAUGAAAUUCUCUGUGAAGAGUCUGGGAGGGACGGUUUAGGUAAUCCAUCUACAAGGGUGCUCAGAGAGUUUGGAGCGAAGCGAUUGGUGUCGUUAUGAUGGCAUUCUAUGGCACAGUAGUUACAGUGCACCAGGCACUCUUUUAAAGACUUCUCAAGUGUUCAUUCAUUUAAUUCUUACCACAACCCUGUGAGGGACUUCCUGUUAUUGUCUCCGUUUUACUGGUGAGGAAGCUGAAGCAGAGAAGUUAACUACUUUGCCCAAGUUCCUUUCCUCCUUUGAGGAUAAGGAGCCAAAGGUUCAGGAAUGCCCAAAUCACAUCCCUCUUCUUGUCCAACCACCCAACCUCUCCACAGGCAACCUGAUCAGCCACCUUUAUACAAAGUACAGUAUUCAGAUUGGAAUAAAAAUAUAUCUCCUUGACUCCCUGCUCUGAGAGGUAUUUCUUCUCAGACUCCCAAAAGCUGGAUUGAGGAACAUGGCUUAGUUGGUACAGUAUAGCAAAAUGUCCUGCUUGUUGAAACUGAAUUUGUGAUUAUCUUCUUUUUCCUCAAGAAGUCAUUGAGGGCUGUUGUAUCCCUAUAAAAGGAGAAUUUAGAGUAGCCAAAUAAAAGGGGGCUGAAGUAGUCUCAUUACGGAAAAAGAGAGUGUGAGCAGCCUUUUAGUAAUUGAUUGCCUCAAGAUGUGGUAUUCAGCCAGGGUGAAGGGAAAGUAGUUGGGGCUGUGGAUCUGGAGGUUUACAGAAGCCUUUACCCAUCCUGAGACUCAGUUCUGCUGUUGGUCUUCAGAGAAGUGUCUGCACCUGCUGAGAAGAAAUCACACCACUGCACUCUAGCCUGGGCAACAGAGCGAGACUCUGUCUCAAAAAAAAAACAAAAAAAAAAAA